CGGUCUAUCUUUGUUUAGACUG
rnacentral:miRNA from 1 species